GACAGAGGGGGCAAGCGUUGCUCGGAAUCACUGGGCGUAAAGGGCGCGUAGGCGGGAUGGCAAGUCGGUCGUGAAAUCCCCUGGCUCAACUGGGGGGAGUCGGCCGAGACUGCUGUUCUUGAGGGGGGCAGAGGAGACUGGAAUUCCCGGUGUAGCGGUGAAAUGUGUAGAGAUCGGGAGGAACACCGGUGGCGAAGGCGGGUCUCUGGGCCUUCUCUGACGCUGAGGCGCGAAAGCGUGGGGAGCAAAC
rnacentral:rRNA from 1 species